rnacentral:rRNA from 1 species
AUUGAACGCUGGCGGCGUGCCUAACACAUGCAAGUCGAACGCGGAAGGGGCUUCGGCCCUGAGUAAAGUGGCGCACGGGUGAGUACCGCGUGGAUAAUCUGCCGCAUUAUAUGGAAUAACGGCUGGAAACGGUCGCUAAUACCGUAUACGCUCCUAAUUUUAUAGAUUGGGGGGAAAGGGGGCCUCUGUAUAUGCUUCCGUAGUGCGAUGAGUCCGCGUCCCAUUAGCUAGUUGGUAAGGUAAUGGCUUACCAAGGCAACGAUGGGUAGCUGGUCUGAGAGGAUGACCCGCCACCCUGGAACUGAAUCACGGUCCAGACUCCGCGGGGAGGAAGCAGUGGGGAAUAUUGCGCAAGGGACGAAAGUCUGACGCAGCGACGCCGCGUGAGGGAUGAAGGUCUUCGGAUCGUAAACCUCUGUCAGGGGGGAAGAAUGGCGAGAGUGCUAAUCAGCUCUCGAUUGACGGUACCUCCAAAGGAAGCACCGGCUAACUCCGUGCCAGCCGCCGCGGUAA